AUUAAUUUCAGGUCCUCAGGGCAGGAUGUUUCCUUGGUACCAGUCAAGACCAAGAGCUACCAGCAGUAGUGGAAGCUGACAGCACGCACGGCCAGGCUUUGUCACCAGGAGACAAUAAAUCCUGGCUGCCAGUUACAGAACACCCACCCUUAGGUGUAACAUUUGAGAUGAGGAUGAAGCCACACUGGGUGUGGAGAGGCAGCGGCAGGAGGUGUCUACUCCACAGUCCCUGGCCCCCUGCAAUGUGAAGUCAGAAGGAUGAUUUAGGUUCUGUCCAGUGAUGUGACACAGCUUCCAGAACGUUCCUCACAGCAGGUGCCCUGAAAGCCCAGACCCAGCCGGCAGGUCACUUGCUGAGCUGCUACUUGAACAUCCAGAGGCAUCAUUCAGAGUGAAGAGAGAGGCUGUUUCUUCAAAGGCAGGCGUGCUGGACGGAAGAAAACCACUGUGUCCACGAUCGUGUCCAAAUAAACAGAGUUAAUGUAAUGAAGAAGUUCCUUCGGAGCUCUGGGUCAGAUCUUCUCACUGAGAGAACUCAAGAGGGGAAUCAUCAGGUAACCCCAACGGCCUGGAAGCCAAGGAAGGCAGUGUACAGCCUGUGCCGUGGAUGGAUGGAGAGGAGACAAGAUGCCGCGGCCAUAGAGAACUGCCCCGUGUGGACAGCACUGCCCGGUGGACUAGGAAUUGCCAUGGAAUUGGAAAGCAGAAGGGGGAGGUCUGUGUUGUCUGUGGAUCUUCCGUCUAGAGUGGCCCUGGGCCCAAGCUGAAUCCCCCAGCUUGAAAAGGCCAGUGUGAGUCAUCAGUCCCACCCAUACUUUGCCUUUUGAGGUGCUGGGGCAAGCAGGGGCAGAGAGCGUCUGCACUCUGUACAGACUAAGGAGGCAGGCAGCAACAGGAACACUCCUACAAAUGAGCUUAAUAGCAGUGCGUGGGCCCACACCUGUAAUCCCAGCCAUCAGAAAGCAGAAGCAGAAUUGGGAGCUCCAGGCCAGCCUGAACGACACAAAAAGACCAUCUCAAAACAAAUGAACAAAGAAACAAAAUCAAGAGGAGUUUAGUUUUGUGUCCCCAGAGAAGAUUCAGAGCUGAAGAAAGACCUAGACAUAGACAGUCAGAGGGGCUUGUUCUCUAGCUAAACCCCAGAUAAGACCUGAGAUUCCUGAUAGUUGAUCCUAAGAGUGUAUUGACUCAGUGACUGUUGAUAUAUUAGAACCCUAGUCCGAAUUCAAAGUCAUAUAGAAACUGAAACUUAAAAGAAUCUUCUGCCGGGCAUUGGUGGUGCACGCGUUUAAUCCCAGCACUCGGGAGGCAGAGGCAGGUGGAUCUCUGUGAGUUUGAAACCAGCCUGGUCUACAAGAGCUAGUUCUAGGACAGGCUUCAACGCCACAGAGAAACCCUAUCUCGAAAAACCACAAGAAAAGAAAAAAAUUUAAAUAAAUAAAAGAAUCUUCUAGAACUUUGACAUCUAAAAAUGGGUCCAACCUCAGGUAAAUUUGGAUGUUGUGCGUUGAGUAUGGCAGUGUACAUCUGUAAUCUUGGCCCUUGGAAGGCUGACUCAGGAAGACAAGGAAUACAUGAGAUCCAUGAAACCCUGCCCUUCUAAUACCUCCUUUGUAACUCUCCGAACCUAGGAGUGAUGUGUGUUUGGACUUCAUGGAAUGGCUUGCAAGACCACAGAUACGAAAAGUUCCAUUCUGCAAGCUAGUAGUGUGACUCAAGCUAAGAAGUGGGAAGCCUCAACCAAAGAGGCAAGGAUACAGCCCACAGGCAGAAGCCAAAGACCUAAAGCAUCAAUGGGCACUGGUGGGAAUCUCAGAGCAUAAAGACUCCAAGGAACCUGGCUUCUGAAGACGGAGAGCAGACAAUGGCUAACUCAGACAAUUGCUUCUUCUUCCUGGGCCCAGCCCUGUCCACACAGGGAGCAGUUCUUUUCCACUCGGUUGGCUCUGUCUCUGGAAACACUCUCACUGGCAUGCCCAGAGGUGCGGUACACACUACCUUCACGCAUCACUUGAUCGUGUCAACACUGGAAUUUUGUUAGCCACUCCGCUGCCAAAUUAGCCACCACACAACUGAAACAACAUAAACCCAAUUCAGACCAGCAAAUGUAUCUUCAACCAAGUGAGCUCAGCAAAUAUUUCUUCCUUUCCACCCUCUGCACAGGCAUGGGAGGAUUACAGCUUUCCAUUCCCACUGACAUUUUGUUGACUAAAUGACUUACUUUGCUUCUCCUAAUGUAGACGAUACAACAGAAGCUUGACAUGAGUGAGCCAAGUCCCUAGUUAACCUUUCUUGAAUGCAUAGCAAGAAACAAACCUUCAAGGCAUAUGCCACUAUUCAUCUCCACACUCUAUUAUUUUAUCCCUACAGAACCCGGUGAGGGUUUCUCUGUGUAGCUUUGGAGCCUGUCCAGCACGAGGCCAAACUUGAAAAUGCAGAUUGCACUGAAGCUUUGCUGAACAGUUGCAACCCACGAAAACUCAGCAAGUGUGUGUCAACUCAUUUCUAAUCUACUCACUGAAAGUCAGAAAAGUCCCUUUUAGAUGUGAGAACUCAGCAAGAUGCUAAGGGACUCUGUCUCCUUCUGUCCCAACCAGACAUUGAAAUACAGUGACACACCUCACAGCAGCACUUUGGUCAAGGAUGGGCUGCUUGUGACAUGGAGAUCCUGCAAUGUGUUGAUUGGUGACUUUGAAAAACAACGGUUUGUGUAAGCGUGUGCUCCAUGAUGCUUACACGGUGACAAAGUCACCUAGUGAGGUAUUUCUCAGAACAGAUCCCUUUUGUUAAGCCAUGCAUAACUGCCAUCAAUGCCAUAUCUCGACGGUCCUGCCACCCUUCCUGGCAACGUUGCAGUAUCAAACACUUUGGGAAGUGACAGAGGCCUUCCUUGGCUGCAGUAGCCCUCCGUCCGCAUCAGCACCGAUGUGGAGGACUCGG
rnacentral:lncRNA from 1 species